UACGUAGGUGGCAAGCGUUGUCCGGAUUUACUGGGCGUAAAGCGUGCGCAGGCGGUUUUGUAAGCCAGAUGUGAAAUCCCCGGGCUCAACCUGGGAAUGGCAUUUGGGACUGCAAGGCUGGAGUUUGGCAGAGGAGACUGGAAUUCCUGGUGGUAGCAGUGAAAUGCGUAGAUAUCAGGAGGAAUACCGAUGGCGAAGGCAGGUCUCUGGGCUAUAACUGACGCUCAUGCACGAAAGCGUGGGGAGCAA
rnacentral:rRNA from 1 species